CACCACGCGCGUCUUGGCGCCAAACUUCCCUCCUCCGCCGCGCGGUUUCGUAUCCUGCGUCGCAUCUCCGACGAGUACUCACUUUGGGAUCGACGACAACCUCAGCCGAGCCCCUCAACCUCUGUCCAAUCUCGACUCUUCAAAAAUUUAAAGUAUCUUCGCAUCGCAAUCUCUCAUUUCUGUUUUCUCCUCCUCCGCCGUGACCACCGGUUUCUCUACCGCCGGC
rnacentral:lncRNA from 1 species